GAUGAACGCUGGCGGCGUGCUUAACACAUGCAAGUCGAACGGGAAUCACUUCAUUGAGACUUCGGUGGAUUUGAUUUGAUUCUAGUGGCGGACAGGUGAGUAACGCGUGGGUAACCUGCCUUAUACAGGGGGAUAACAGUCAGAAAUGACUGCUAAUACCGCAUAAGCGCACAGGACCGCAUGGUCCGGUGUGAAAAACUCCGGUGGUAUAAGAUGGACCCGCGUUGGAUUAGCUUGUUGGUGGGGUAACGGCCCACCAAGGCGACGAUCCAUAGACGGCCUGGGGGGGUGAACGGCCACAUUGGGACUGAGACACGGACCAGACUCCUACGGGAGGCAGCAGUGGGGAAUAUUGCACAAUGGGGGAAACCCUGAUGCAGCGACGCCGCGUGAAGGAAGAAGUAUCUCGGUAUGUAAACUUCUAUCAGCAGGGAAGAUAGUGACGGUACCUGACUAAGAAGCCCCGGCUAACUACGUGCCAGCCGCCGCAGUAA
rnacentral:rRNA from 1 species